AGAUGAACAACCCAAGGACUUAGGAAGGAUGCACAGCUCACCUAGGACAGCUGAUGAUUUCAAGCCAGAUAUCCAUUCAUCUCUCCACCACCAACCCCCAGAAUCAGCCAACUCGAGUGAGUGAACUUUGGCUGCAAUGGAGGUGCCCAAAUCCCAAAGGUGCCAAGUGUGGCCCCAGUGCUACACAAGCCAUGUGGAAGCAAAAUGGCAACUGACCACAUCCAAGUGGCUGCUAUGGACCUGGACCAGGAAAAGGCUUUAAUUCUUUUGAUGGACUUCUAUCUCUCUGCCUAACACUGACCUGUCUUCCCACCUUGGAGAAAAACAUCCCAUGGAGGUAAAACACAAAGAAGGAAGGAUAGUAAUGAGCUGUCACUCUAAAACGUA